rnacentral:rRNA from 1 species
UGGGGAAUAUUGGACAAUGGGGGCAACCCUGAUCCAGCGAUGCCGCGUGUGCGAAGAAGGCCUGCGGGUUGUAAAGCACUUUAAGUUGGGAGGAAGGGCAGUUACCUAAUACGUGAUUGUUUUGACGUUACCGACAGAAUAAGCACCGGCUAACUCUGUGCCAGCAGCCGCGGUAAUACAGAGGGUGCAAGCGUUAAUCGGAAUUACUGGGCGUAAAGCGCGCGUAGGUGGUUAGUUAAGUUGGAUGUGAAAUCCCCGGGCUCAACCUGGGAACUGCAUUCAAAACUGACUGACUAGAGUAUGGUAGAGGGUGGUGGAAUUUCCUGUGUAGCGGUGAAAUGCGUAGAUAUAGGAAGGAACACCAGUGGCGAAGGCGACCACCUGGACUGAUACUGACACUGAGGUGCGAAAGCGUGGGGAGCAAACAGGAUUAGAUACCCUUGUAGUCCCUGAGCGGGCUGGCAAGGCGCAU